UACAUUUUUUCUUUCAUGUACUAUAUAUCAAAGGCAUUAAAUAUCUACGGCUGUGUUGUUUAUCUCAUUAUAUAAUUAUAUACUCAAAAUGAUAUUAUAAUUAAUCCACAUUUUAGAUACAAACAAUGAGUCAGACGCCUGUGAUCACCACCAGUUGUACGUGUAUGGAAAUCGAAAGUUGAAAAACUUUUGAGUUAUCAUUGACAUUCAUAUUUAACAAAACACUGCACGAUGCUUUUAAUAAUAAGCUUGCAGGGAGUCGGGACAAAAAGGCCCAGUACCAGAAAGGCCCGGUCCAGAAAGGCCUACUUUUAAAUCAAAGGAAACACCUGUAUUUUGUUUGAGGGUGUUGUUCUUUGAUAGGAUCUUUGCGGUGGAGGAUUGGUCCGUAUUCAGACAGACCAUUCGCACCAACAACGAUGUCGAAGGGUGGCACAACCGUCUCAACCAAAAGGCCGGAGGGAGUGGACUGGGGUUUUACAGGCUCGUGCCAGUACUUCGACGGGAGGCCGAGCUUGUGCAGAUGGCUGUAGAGUCUGAGGACUUGGAGAGAGGAGGCAACGUCCGUUGUCUGCGUCAAGACAACGCCAUAAGGACGCUUGCAGACGAGUACUUGAAUGGAGACAUUAGGACUUCUAAGUACCUAGGAAGGAUUGGAGACGUGUAUCGUAUACAGAAGUAAUUUGCUGCCACAUCUACAUC